rnacentral:rRNA from 1 species
UACGUAGGGUGCGAGCGUUGUCCGGAAUUAUUGGGCGUAAAGAGCUUGUAGGCGGUUUGUCGCGUCUGCUGUGAAAAUCCGGGGCUCAACCCCGGACUUGCAGUGGGUACGGGCAGACUAGAGUGUGGUAGGGGAGACUGGAAUUCCUGGUGUAGCGGUGGAAUGCGCAGAUAUCAGGAGGAACACCGAUGGCGAAGGCAGGUCUCUGGGCCAUUACUGACGCUGAGAAGCGAAAGCAUGGGGAGCAAACAGG